UACGGAGGGGGCUAGCGUUGUUCGGAAUUACUGGGCGUAAAGCGCACGUAGGCGGCUUUUUAAGUCAGAGGUGAAAGCCCGGAGCUCAACUCCGGAAUUGCCUUUGAGACUGGAUCGCUUGAACGUCGGAGAGGUGAGUGGAAUUCCGAGUGUAGAGGUGAAAUUCGUAGAUAUUCGGAAGAACACCAGUGGCGAAGGCGGCUCACUGGACGACUGUUGACGCUGAGGUGGCGAAAGCGUGGGGAGCAAACAGGG
rnacentral:rRNA from 1 species